UGUCUUGAACAGAGAGCUUCUUUAUUUGGUUACCAGAUUUUGCAAUAACAAGAUUUGGUCCUUCCUGCAAGGUCAUUUAAAAUACCAAGAUAUUAAAUAUAUGAAUAAAUAAACACAAUCUGAAUCUCUUCACUUUUAAUACCCGGGUAAAUGAAAUAGCAAAUGAUUAGCAAACAGACAUAAGUAUCAGAAAAAUAAGCACUGAUAGAAUGAUA
rnacentral:lncRNA from 1 species